GAACGCUGGCGGAAUGCUUUACACAUGCAAGUCGAACGGCAGCACGGACUUCGGUCUGGUGGCGAGUGGCGAACGGGUGAGUAAUAUAUCGGAACGUGCCCAGUCGUGGGGAUAACGUAGUGAAAUUACGCUAAUACCGCAUACGAUCUAAGGAUGAAAGCGGGGAUCGCAAAGACCUCGCGCGAUUGGAGCGGCCGAUAUCAGAUUAGGUAGUUGGUGAGGUAAAGGCUCACCAAGCCAACGAUCUGUAGCUGGUCUGAGAGGACGACCAGCCACACUGGAACUGAGACACGGUCCAGACUCCUACGGGAGGCAGCAGUGGGGAAUUUUGGACAAUGGACGCAAGUCUGAUCCAGCCAUUCCGCGUGCAGGACGAAGGCCUUCGGGUUGUAAACUGCUUUUGUGCAGAACGAAAAGGUCUCUAUUAAUACUAGGGGCUCAUGACGGUACUGUAAGAAUAAGCACCGGCUAACUACGUG
rnacentral:rRNA from 1 species